rnacentral:rRNA from 1 species
ACGGGUUGAUAUUCCCGUACCCGUGUGCGUGCGACAAGUGAUGAAUCUUAUGGUACUAACCGCCCGCCUACGUGCACUGGUCUUUUUGGUUGGUGUGUGUGGGUGCGUGGGAUCUUCGUGGGUAGUAGUCAAGUGAUGGGGUGACGCAGAGUGGUAGCUAGGCUUCCUUAUUGGAUUGGAGUGCAAGCGUGUGGCCUGUGGGGUUGGGAAAUCCGCCCCGCGUAUCAGGUGAGGCGUGAUGCGGACACCAUGUUGUGGUGGUAGUUAGUGUGCCUGUGCUGUCUAGAAAAGCCUCUAGCGAGUGCGUGCAUGGCCCGUACCGGAAACCGACACAGGUGGUCAGGUAGAGAAUACUAAGGCGUUCGGGUGAACUGUGGUUAAGGAACUCGGCAAAAUGCCCCCGUAACUUCGGGAGAAGGGGGACCAUUACUAGUUGCUGACAGCAAGAUGGCUGGUGGUGGUCGCAGAGGAGAGAGGGAAGCGACUGUUUAUUAAAAACACAGGUCCGUGCGAAAACGUGGAAGUUGAGGUAUACGGACUGACGCCUGCCCGGUGCUGGAAGGUUAAGAGGACCCGUGAGCAUGCCUUAUGUGUGUGCGAGGCGGAGAAUUGAAGCCCCAGUAAACGGCGGUGGUAACUAUAACCAUCCUAAGGUAGCGAAAUUCCUUGUCGGGUAAGUUCCGACCUGCACGAAUGGCGUAACGACUUCCCUGCUGUCUCAACCACAGGCCCGGUGAAAUUGCAGUACGAGUAAAGAUGCUCGUUUCGCGCGGCAGGACGAAAAGACCCCGGGACCUUUACUAUAGCUUGGUAUUGGUGUUUGGUCAUGCUUGUGUAGGAUAGGUGGGAGACUGUGAAGCCGCAACGCUAGUUGUGGUGGAGUCGCAGGUGAAAUACCACUCUGGUGUGAUUGGGUACCUGAACCUUGGCCCGUGAUCCGGGUUGGGGACAGUGCCUGGUGGGUAGUUUAACUGGGGCGGUUGCCUCCUAAAUGGUAACGGAGGCGCCCAAAGGUUUCCUCAGUCUGGUUGGCAAUCAGAUGGUGAGUGUAAGUGUAUAAGGGAGCUUGACUGUGACACUGACGGGUGGAGCAGGUGCGAAAGCAGGGACUAGUGAUCCGGCAUCUACGUGUGGUUGUGGUGUCGCUCAACGGAUAAAAGGUACCCCGGGGAUAACAGGCUGAUCUUCCCCAAGAGUUCAUAUCGACGGGAUGGUUUGGCACCUCGAUGUCGGCUCGUCGCAUCCUGGGGCUGGAGUAGGUCCCA